rnacentral:lncRNA from 10 species
UUUAGUAUGAGGUCAAGGGCAUCUAUUUCAAAAGAAGUCUAAAAAAACUUUUUUCAAAAAAUAACGUAGGAAGAUACACAUGUGUGACCCACCACUUUUAUUUGCGAGCAGAGUCUACUUUAUUUGUACUUAUAAUGACCUUAGUGGAACAUUUUUCAGCGUGUGCAACUUUGAACUGCUUCACUAACCAGAUUAGUCAGGGGAAGAAUUUCUCCUUCACUGGUAUUUCCAGUGAAGUCCCACUCUCCUCAACCCUCAGAGGAUCUCUGGAAGGCCACACAGAACCUGGGACAGGAACCAAGGCACAGGGAUGGGAUGGAGACUCACAAUUCACUGUUAACAUUUUGAUUCUCAUUUGAAUUUUUAACACACGCAUCUAUCACUUAAAUUAAUAGUAAUGAAAUUUUAUUGCACUCUUCUUACCAAGUGCCAGGCAUUGUGCUAAGUACUUGACCAACGUUAUUCCAUUCAGUCCCAUGAAAUAGGCAAUAAUCUUAAUUCCCAUUGUUUCAUAUAGAUAUAAAGAGGGUAAGUCACAUGCCCAAGAUCAUGUAGUUAAACAUUAGCCGAGCUGGUAAUUGAACCCAGGCUGUCUGCCUCAAAUGCCCAUAGUCCUUGCCACUGCACUCUUGCCUUUUCUGCACAGAAGAUAUCUUGAAAGGGUUAUCUACACUUGCUGUCUCCACUUAUUGUCCACUCACUUCAUACAUAAGCACAAGCUGGCCUCUACCCUGAUUAAUCCAUGAACUGGGUUCUCUCCAGGGUCAAAAAUGACCUUGUCAUUAAGUCAAUUGCACAUUUCUCAGUUUGUCUUUUGCUUGACUGCUGGGAGCUAUUAGACUCUUUUGGCCACAUAUUCUUCUUGGAAUAUGAUGCAACUUUGGAUUCUCUGCAAUCACACCUUCUGGAUCAUCCACCUCUGUCUCUAUCACCUUUGCAAACUCUUCUCCUCUUCACGAUGAUCUCUCCUAGGCCUGCUUAUCCUUCCAGUCUACAUCCCCUGAGCAAUUGAAUUCACUCCCAUGAUUUCAGUGAUAAUAAAUGGCCGACGGCUUCCAAACCUUCGUCUCCAUCUUGAGCAUCCUACUGCAUCUUCCAUUGGCAAUCAGGCCUCUCCACUUAGCUGUUCCAAGGAGAACUCAGAAAGCCUUGAAUGAAUUGGACAUCAUGCUUCUGCCCAUCACCAUCAAAACCUCCCCUUCUUCCUUCAUGUUUCACAAUUCAGAAAAGCUCCACCCAGUAAAAUAAAUCAGAAAUCUGAGAGUUAGCAUUUUUGGAGGUGGGCCAGGCAGAGUGGGCCGAUAGGCAA